UACGUAGGGGGCAAGCGUUGUCCGGAAUUAUUGGGCGUAAAGCGCGCGCAGGCGGUCAAUUAAGUUGGGUGUUUAAGCCCGGGGCUCGACCCCGGUUCGCAUCCAAAACUGGUUGACUUGAGUGUAGGAGAGGAAAGUGGAAUUCCACGUGUAGCGGUGAAAUGCGUAGAGAUGUGGAGGAACACCAGUGGCGAAGGCGACUUUCUGGCCUAUAACUGACGCUGAGGCGCGAAAGCGUGGGGAGCAAACAGG
rnacentral:rRNA from 1 species